AUGAACGCUAGCGACAGGCCUAACACAUGCAAGGUCAGGGGCAGCACAAGGAGCAAUCUGAGGUGGCGACCGGCGCACGGGUGAGUAACACGUAUGCAACCUGCCUGUAAGCGGGGAAUAACCCGUUGAAAGACGGACUAAUACCGCAUAAUACUAAAUUACUGCAUGGUAAUUAUUUAAACAUUUAUGGCUUACAGAUGGGCAUGCGCAUGAUUAGCUAGUUGGAGAGGUAACGGCUCCCCAAGGCAACGAUCAUUAGGGGUUCUGAGAGGAAGGUCCCCCACACUGGUACUGAGACACGGACCAGACUCCUACGGGAGGCAGCAGUGAGGAAUAUUGGUCAAUGGACGAGAGUCUGAACCAGCCAAGUCGCGUGCAGGAAGAAUGUCCUUAAUGGAUUGUAAACUGCUUUUGCAGGGGAAUAAAGUGCAUCACGUGUGAUGUUUUGUAUGUACUCUGCGAAUAAGGAUCGGCUAACUCCGUGCCAGCAGCUGC
rnacentral:rRNA from 1 species